UCAUUCGGCCGUUACAGCAGCGAUUUUCUCGCGCGAGUCUUUAUAUCGGCCGAAACAACGAACCAACGACGGUGCAUUCGGCCCAUAUUAUUCAGGCAUUCGGCCCAAGCGAUGUUCACGCGACGACCGAAAAAAAGUUCGACCGGUUGAACUUUUCUCGCCGAAGCAGUCAUUUAGCGGCCGAAAAUCAACAGCCGCCAUAUUGUUUUCAUACAACCUUGACAAGUGUUGUUUACAUUCCAAUCAUUUUCGAUGUGAGGGGCUCGUGUGGUGUGGAGUUGUUUGCGAUGGAAAUGAAUUGGGUCGGAGAAGUGGAUCUCAUUCAAGCGGUACACAACAAGCCAGUUUCAUGAAACACGAGUCUUCCUGGACGAUGAGGCACCAGCUGAACCGCAAACGGCCGGCGCACCAGCUCUGUCCCCGGGGCCGGCGCCCCGGCAAGCAGCACCAGCUCCAAGGCCGGCGCUCGGGCCAGCCCCGUCUCUGGAGCGGUCGGUGCCGGCAUCACCAGUGUCCGCAAGGAGCAGCCGUGCCCAGUCGAAACGCUCGCAGCACUUCAAAGUGUACAACAGGUGGCUAAACCGUUGAAUGAUGCCGACCUGGCUUUCGGUCAGUGUGUAAAAGCGGUUCGAAAAAAGCCAUCGCUCCCGGAACUUCCGCUCACUGGCGCGCGACGUCUCCUCCGUCGGCUCCGGCAGGUACACUGCACCGCGGACGUUCACGAUCGCGCAACAGAUGUACACCAACGCGCGCGUGGUCGACUCCGCGAGCCGGUAGCUCGGCGCCAGAGCGGAAAAUUCAGCCCCCGACGCCAGAUAGUGGAGUGUAAUCGCCAGCCGCAGCGGUGCGCUCACCGGCUGGAGGAAGGUGGUGGUCGAGCGGGUGAUCUGGCCCUCGAUCUGUGCUAGUAGGAGGCUGAAGGCUCCCUAGCUCAGUCGGAAAUACUGAACCUGUGUCGCUGGGGGUCGUUGAGCCGAAGCUCCUGCUCUCGGUUGGCGUGCUCGCCCAGCUCGUCUCGGCGCUGCAGCACGUCGCUGA